AUUGAACGCUGGCGGCAGGCUUAACACAUGCAAGUCGAGCGGAGUGAUGGUGCUUGCACUAUUACUUAGCGGCGGACGGGUGAGUAAUGCUUAGGAAUCUGCCAUUUAGUGGGGGACAACAUUCCGAAAGGAAUGCUAAUACCGCAUACGUCCUACGGGAGAAAGCAGGGGAUCUUCGGACCUUGCGCUAAAUGAUGAGCCUAAGUCGGAUUAGCUAGUUGGUGGGGUAAAGGCCUACCAAGGCGACGAUCUGUAGCGGGUCUGAGAGGAUGGUCCGCCACACUGGGACUGGGACACGGCCCAGACUCCUACGGGAGGUAGCAGUGGGGAAUAUGGGACAAUGGGCGGAAGCCUGAUCCAGCCAUGCCGCGUGUGGGAAGAGGGCCUUUUGGUUGUAAAGCACUUUAAGCGAGGAGGAGGCUCUCCUAGUUAAUACCUAGGAAGAGUGGACGUUACUCGCAGAAUAAGCACCGGCUAACUCUGUGCCAGCCGCCGCCGUAACAC
rnacentral:rRNA from 1 species